AGAGUUUGAUCCUGGCUCAGGACGAACGCUGGCGGCGUGCUUAACACAUGCAAGUCGAACGAGGUCCAUCCGGUGGCAACACCGGAGAAGACCUAGUGGCGAACGGGUGAGUAACACGUGAGCAACCUGCCCCGAAGACCGGGAUAACAGCGGGAAACCGCUGCUAAUACCGGAUGCCCCCACCGGGUCACAUGGCCCGA
rnacentral:rRNA from 1 species